GACGAACGCUGGCGGCGUGCCUAAUACAUGCAGGUAGAACGCUGAAGAGAGGAGCUUGCUCUUCUUGGAUGAGUUGCGAACGGGUGAGUAACGCGUAGGUAACCUGCCUUGUAGCGGGGGAUAACUAUUGGAAACGAUAGCUAAUACCGCAUAACAAUGGAUGACACAUGUCAUUUAUUUGAAAGGGGCAAUUGUUCCACUACAAGAUGGACCUGCGUUGUAUUAGCUAGUAGGUGAGGUAAUGGCUCACCUAGGCGACGAUACAUAGCCGACCUGAGAGGGUGGACGGCCACCCCGGGAAUGAGACACGGCCCAGACCCCUUCGGGAGGCAGCAGGAGGGAAACUUUGGCAAAGGGGGCAACGCUGACCGAGCAACGCCGCGGGAGUGAAGAAGGGUUUCGGAUCGUAAAGCUCUGUUGUAAGUGAAGAACGGGUGUGAGGGUGGAAAGUUCACACUGUGACGGUAGCUUAACAGAAAGCGACGGCUAACUACGUG
rnacentral:rRNA from 1 species